ACUCCUACGGGAGGCAGCAGUGAGGAAUAUUGGGCAAUGGGCGCAAGCCUGACCCAGCCAUGCCGCGUGCAGGAUGACUGCCCUAUGGGUUGUAAACUGCUUUUAUACGGGAAGAAUGGUUCCUACGUGUAGGAAUUCGACGGUACCGUAAGAAUAAGCAUCGGCUAACUCCGUGCCAGCAGCCGCGGUAAUACGGAGGAUGCAAGCGUUAUCCGGAUUCAUUGGGUUUAAAGGGUGCGCAGGCGGAGUAUUAAGUCAGUGGUGAAAUCCUGCAGCUUAACUGUAGAACUGCCAUUGAUACUGAUAUUCUUGAAUAUAGUUGAGGUGGGCGGAAUGUGUAAUGUAGCGGUGAAAUGCUUAGAUAUUACACAGAACAUCGAUUGCGAAGGCAGCUCACUAAACUAAUAUUGACGCUGAGGCACGAAAGCGUGGGGAGCGAACAGGAUAAGAUACCCUGGUAGUCCACGCUGUAAACUAUGAUCACUCGCAGUGGGCAAUACAUCGUCAGCGGCUGAGCGAAAGCAUUAAGUGAUCCACCUGGGGAUUACGAUCGCAAGAUUGAAACUCAAAGGAAUUGACGGGGGCCCGCACAAUCGGAGGUACGUGUGGUUUAAUUCGAUGAUACGCGAGGAACCUUACCUGGGCUUAAAUGCAGAUCGACGUUUCGGGAAACCGGAAUUCCUUCGGGCGAACUGCAAGGUGCUGCAUGGCUGUCGUCAGCUCGUGCCGUGAGGUGUCGGGUUAAGUCCCAUAACGAGCGCAACCCUUAUCGUUAGUUGCCAGCGGGUAAUGCCGGGGACUCUAACGAAACUGCCGGUGUAAACCGUGAGGAA
rnacentral:rRNA from 1 species